UACGUAGGGUGCAAGCGUUGUCCGGAAUUAUUGGGCGUAAAGAGCUCGUAGGCGGUUUGUUGCGUCGGCUGUGAAAACCUGAGGCUCAACCUCAGGCCUGCAGUCGAUACGAGCAGACUAGAGUGUUGCAGGGGAGACUGGAAUUCCUGGUGUAGCGGUGAAAUGCGCAGAUAUCAGGAGGAACACCGGUGGCGAAGGCGGGUCUCUGGGCAACAACUGACGCUGAGGAGCGAAAGCGCGGGGAGCGAACAGG
rnacentral:rRNA from 1 species